rnacentral:rRNA from 1 species
GACGUAGGGGGCGAGCGUUGUCCGGAUUUAUUGGGCGUAAAGCGUGCGUAGGCGGCUGCGCAAGUCGGUUGUGAAAACCCGGGGCUCAACUCCGGGCCUGCAGCCGAUACGGGCAGACUAGAGUUCGGCAGGGGAGACUGGAAUUCCUGGUGUAGCGGUGAAAUGCGCAGAUAUCAGGAGGAACACCGGUGGCGAAGGCGGGUCUCUGGGCCGAUACUGACGCUGAGGAGCGAAAGCGUGGGGAGCGAACGGG